AUGGUUGAGUGGUAAAGUGCUUGGCUUCUGGGAACCAAGUGUCCCGGGUUUGAAUCCUGGU
rnacentral:tRNA from 1 species